rnacentral:rRNA from 1 species
ACCUUCUCACCCUUGUGUACUCACUAUGUUGCUUUGGCGGGUCGACCUGGUUCCGACCCAGGCGGCCGGCGCCCCCAGCCUUAACUGGCCAGGACGCCCGGCUAAGUGCCCGCCAGUAUACAAAACUCAAGAAUUCAUUUUGUGAAGUCCUGAUAUAUCAUUUAAUUGAUUAAAACUUUCAACAACGGAUCUCUUGGUUCUGGCAUCGAUGAAGAACGCAGCGAAAUGCGAUAAGUAAUGUGAAUUGCAGAAUUCAGUGAAUCAUCGAAUCUUUGAACGCACAUUGCGCCCUCUGGUAUUCCGGAGGGCAUGCCUGUUCGAGCGUCAUUUCAACCCUCAAGCUCUGCUUGGUAUUGGGCAACGUCCGCUGCCGGACGUGCCUUGAAGACCUCGGCGACGGCGUCCUAGCCUCGAGCGUAGUAGUAAAAUAUCUCGCUUUGGAGUGCUGGGCGACGGCCGCCGGACAAUCGACCUUCGGUCUAUUUUUCCAAGGUUGACCUCGGAUCAGGUAGGGAUACCCGCUGAACUUAAGCAUAUCAAUAAGCGGAGGAAAAGAAACCAACAGGGAUUGCCUUAGUAACGGCGAGUGAAGCGGCAAUAGCUCAAAUUUGAAAGCUGGCGUCUUCGACGUCCGCGUUGUAAUUUGUAGAGGAUGCUUCGGCGAAGACUCCUGCCUAAGUCCCCUGGAACGGGGCGUCAUAGAGGGUGAGAAUCCCGUAUGUGGCGGGCAGUCUAAGCCAUGUGAAGCUCCUUCGACGAGUCGAGUUGUUUGGGAAUGCAGCUCUAAAUGGGAGGUAAAUUUCUUCUAAAGCUAAAUAUUGGCCAGAGACCGAUAGCGCACAAGUAGAGUGAUCGAAAGAUGAAAAGCACUUUGGAAAGAGAGUUAAAAAGUACGUGAAAUUGUUGAAAGGGAAGCGCUUGCAACCAGACUCGCUCGUAGUUGCUCAGCCGGCCUCUUGGCCGGUGUACUCUUCUACGAUCGGGCCAGCAUCAGUUCGGGCGGCAGGAUAAAGGUGUCGGGAAUGUAGCACCCUUCGGGGUGUGUUAUAGCCCGGCGCGGAAUGCUGCCAGCCUGGACUGAGGAUCUCGCUUCGGCAAGGAUGCUGGCGUAAUGGUUGUAAGCGGCCCGUCUUGAAACACGGACCAAGGAGUCUAACAUCUAUGCGAGUGUUUGGGUGUCAAACCCAUGCGCGUAAUGAAAGUGAACGGAGGUGGGAACCCCUCACGGGGUGCACCAUCGACCGAUCCUGAUGUCUUCGGAUGGAUUUGAGUAAGAGCAUAGCUGUUGGGACCCGAAAGAUGGUGAACUAUGCCUGAAUAGGGUGAAGCCAGAGGAAACUCUGGUGGAGGCUCGCAGCGGUUCUGACGUGCAAAUCGAUCGUCAAAUUUGGGUAUAGGGGCGAAAGACUAUC